UGUGUAUGCGUAUGUGUGUGUGUUUGUGUCUGUGUGUGUCUGUAUGUGUGUGUGUGUGUGUGUGUAUAUAUAUAUGUAUGCGUAUGCGUAUGUGUGUGUGUGUGUGUGUCCGCCUCUAUUCCAUGAUAAAUAGCAUUAUAUUCUCUCUUCUCUUCUCCCCUUUUGCUAUUAAGUAUCAAGUAUUUUCCAGGUAUUUCCAGUGUUUUCCAGGUAGUGUCGUAGGUUGAAGCCAGACCUCUGCUACCUGUCACUACUAAACUCACCUUAAUUGACCUCCUGUGCCUCUGUGGUCCCGUUCCCUGGUGUUUAAAUGAAAAGAGGACACACACACACAACCGCACUGCACGGUGUUUCCCAGGUACACUGAGGAAGACAAUAAAAAAUAAAUAAAUCUGCUGUCUCUCAAUAUUUAUCGUAAUUUACAGUGUUUUGUUGUGUGAGGAGCAGACUACUGGGGUGAUUUGUGCACAGGUGGACUUGGAAUCUCUCAGGGGAAACUACAUGUAGUAAUUGAAUUAAAAUGGCUAGAACCAGAGGAUGGGGUUGUGCGUCCCCGGGAGUUCAGAGGGUGCCGGCGCUUCAACUGAUGGUGUGGACCCAUGAGACAGAGGCUCCACCAGGUGAGCGGUCACAGGGCCAACCCACUUCCUGCCGACACUUGAUUUGGGGCUUCGGAAAACAAGGGCACAAGGGUACAAGGGUCAGCCUUGUACCUGCGCCGUCCACGAGUGCCCUCACCGGCCUGUCAUUGCACGUUGUCAGGGAAGCAAGAACGUGGAGGCUAGAGUAACAGGGGAACGAGCGGUGGCCAUCAGGGACGUGAGAGGCCUCCAGCAGUAUGCCUGGAGAUACUUGUGUGUGGAUGAGGGACGCAGACUCAAGAACCACAAGUGUAGGCUGACCAAGGUAACAGGGACGUGAGGGGUCUCCAGCAGCAUGCCUGAAGAUACUUGUGUGUGGACGAGGGACACACACUCAUUGGCUAUUGUAGGCUGUAUCUCUCUCUCUCUCUCUCUCUCUCUCUCUCUCUCUCUCUCUCUCUCUCUCUCUCUCUCUCUCUCUCUCUCUCUCUCUCUCGGCGAGAUAGCAAGGUACACACACCACCACCCCUCACACACACACACACACACACACACACACACACACACACACACACACACACACACACACAGCCCCCUCCCCCUCUCCCCCCUUUAUCGUAACGUACAAACAGGACUAAACGUGUUACCAAUGCCAGCAAUGUAAACAAAACCACGUGACU